GGGCAGCAAUUCAACCCCCCCCCCCUGCCGUACUCAGGCUGAUCUGAUGGAACAAACCCCCUCCGCUGCACAAUCAUCCACCGACCAGACUCCGCCACCGCCCCCGACAACCUCCGCCGCAGUACCACCUGUUUCUUCUUCGCUGCCACCGCCAACAAACCCCACCCCAACCCCAACCUCUAAACCUCCUACUACGCCUCAAUCCCAACAAUCUACCACUUCCCAAACAAGGCCGUCAUUCAAUACCCGACCAUGGCAGCAACCGCCCUACUCCCACUUCUCUCUUCCCUCGCCUCCACUUCCUUCUUCUUCGGCUUCAACUUCGUCUUCGAUAUCCGCUCCGCCGCCCCCUCGCGGCGGAAUGGCCAUUGGAGUCCCUGCCCAUAACCCCUCCACUCCUCCCCCUCCGCCUGCAUCGUUUUCUUCACUCACUCCCCCAUCUUACGGCCAACCAUCCCAGAUAAGGCAGCCAAUGCCAGGAAUGGGGAUGACGGGUUCGCUGGGUACGACGUCUUCAAUGCGGCCAUCAGGGGUUCCUUCUCAUCAGUUGAGGCCUUCCCAGUCAUCUCUCAGACCGCAGACUACCCCAAGUAGUCAGUCUCCUGCUGCACAGAAUUUUCAAGGACAUGGUAUGCUUAGAGUUUCAUCAUUGGGAUCCCCGGGAUCACCAUCACCUAGCAGUUCUCAAAGUCCACAGCCCCAGAAUCAACCAUGGUUGUCUUCUGGAACCCAAGGGAAACCUCCUUUGCCAACCCCGUCACUUAGACCGCAGACGAGUACUCAAUCAUUUCAGCAAAGACCCCAUAUUCCUCAGCAACAUCACCAAAACAUGUCUACCACUCCACAGCAACAGCCAAUUGGUUCGAGCCAACAGCCACCACAAUCCUCAGCCUCAGGCCAGCCCCUGGAGCAUCAUGGCCAACAAUAUCCACCUUCUAGGAUUCAACAGUCGUUAUCUCAUCAACAACAGAUCACAAGGGGAUCGGGGUUGGGGAAUCAAAAACCGCCUCUUGGCAUGACACAAUCUAGUGCAUCACACCCUGGAGCCCUCAGUAAAACUGCAAUCACGGAUACUGAAGAAUCUUCAAACAGAAUUGUAAGCAAGCGAAGCAUUCAGGAACUUGUAAACCAGAUUGACCCAUCUGAGAAAUUGGAUCCUGAGGUUGAAGACAUUCUUGUGGAAAUUGCUGAGGAUUUUGUGGAAUCAAUUACAACAUUUGGCUGUUCGUUGGCUAAGCAUCGGAAAUCUACCACUUUAGAAGCAAAGGACAUACUCCUACAUCUUGAAAGAAACUGGAAUAUGACUCUUCCUGGCUUUGGUGGGGAUGAGAUUAAGACGUACAAGAAACCGAUUGUAAGUGAUAUUCACAGAGAGCGGCUUGCUGCUGUAAGUUCUGCUUCUUCAUUUGCUUCUUUUGCUUGAAAUCAUCAUCAGCGGUUAAUGGGAAAUAGUAGAACCUGGAUAUCAGGAUGCUGUCUUUAGUUUCAGAUAAAGAAGUCAAUUGUGGCCACUGAUAUGGUAACUAAGAACCCAGGCGGUCCAUCUGGUGGGAAUGCCAAAGGUCAUCUCGCAAAAGGCCCUGCCAGUAUUAUUGGUUCCCCCCCAAAUCCUAAAAUACGUGAAGCAGC